AGGGGAAACAGAGCAGGGUGAUGGGGUGAAGUGAGAAGCUAAACUGGCCUGUCCUGCCAUCACAAGCAUUCACCUUCCAGUGAGGUAUCACACCAGGGAACCACAUGCUCGAUCCAUGGUGUGAAGUCUGUGAAAAGCUGAGCACUCACUGUUUUGAGUCCAUUCUAUGGGAACACCAGCAGCUCUGGAUUUAAUGAUUCUGCUCUUAAAUGUGCUGAACUCCUGCGUCUCACAGAGAAGGGGUUCAGUAAUGCUCAGCACUUCUGCAAAUAACUUACUGGAAAUGAACCUUUACUUGGAGCCCUGGUGCAGCUGCUAUGGACACAUUUCAUCUUUUUAUAAGCUCAUACACAUAAUAAAACAAGAAGUCACAAAACUAGAUGC